rnacentral:lncRNA from 7 species
CAUUUUCUUCUUCAAAUUAAAAUUAAUGUUUCUACUCUUAUGACAAAGCCACAUAUCUUUAUAUAUAUAGAUUCCUAGGUUCCUUGGUGUGUGCUUAUAGGUAGCAAUGUAAAAUGGACUUAAAAUAUGGCAGUGUUGUUUCUCUUUUAUAUGCUCCUCUGUUUUGAGGAUCUGAACUUUUUUAGUAUGAUAUCUGGGAAGUUUUGAAGCAAACUUCUGAUGGGAGUAGUAGGAAAAAAUCACUUAGUGAUCUUUAAUAUAUGCCUUAAAGACUUCAGUAAUGAGAUACCUUUAGAAGCAUUGGAACGUGAUAAAGAUACAGUGCUGCUGAAAAACAAAUGGAAGCUGGCAGCAGCUGAAGGCCUGUGGUGGUUGACCAAUCUGCUCUGAGCUGUUCCAGGAGCCUCCAGAGGACAAGAGGAAUGUGACAGUGCUCCUUCUGUUCUGGCUGUGAGAAACUGAAAGCACCGAAGUGAGUUUGCUUGGUGAGCAGCGGAGUCACCUCCUGGUCCUGAUAGGUGAGCUGGAUGAGACCAGGGUACAGACUAGAGAUCUUCAAUGCAGCCUGAGCAUCUCAUGUAAUGUCAAGACCUUAAGAGCAGAGGAAGGCACAUCAGAGUAUCAUGACAGAAAAAAAUGGAUGAGAAGAACCUUAAAACUGUGCCUGUAGAUCUGAUCAAUGGAUCUCUGUGAAGUCCUUGGAUUGACUCUGCUCUUGGUCUGCAGGAACUUAUUACAGGCAUGGAACUUCUUCGAUUGGUCUCCCCCCUGCUUGAGGAGGCUAGAAUGCUUUAUUUAUUUGAUGUCAUAUUUGGUUAUACAUGAAAAUAUUUCACUAUUUAUUUUUAUAGUUUUGCAACAAUAUGUUAUGGAGAAAGCAUUUCCCAUUUUCCAACAAACUCUCAGUCAGGGUUUAGUUAUCUGUUUAUUAUUAGUGAAUGUGUCCCAGAGUUUUGCUGAUAUGUUUGUUAUCAGUGCAUCAAAGCUUGAGUGAUAAAAUAAACUAAUGUGGUCACCAGUUGUGCUAUUUGAACAAGUUCUGGAGUAGCAGAUGCAAAGCCGAAGAAGAUAUCUUAUCCCAGCUUUCACCUUUUGACUGGCUGGAAGAGACCAGCAGGCAGCUAAUUGUCUU